rnacentral:rRNA from 1 species
UCCUGGCUCAGGAUGAACGCUGGCGGCGUGCCUAAUACAUGCAAGUCGAACGAGUUCUCGUUGAUGAUCGGUGCUUGCACCGAGAUUCAACAUAGAACGAGUGGCGGACGGGUGAGUAACACGUGGGUAACCUGCCCUUAAGUGGGGGAUAACAUUUGGAAACAGAUGCUAAUACCGCAUAGAUCCAAGAACCGCAUGGUUCUUGGCUGAAAGAUGGCGUAAGCUAUCGCUUUUGGAUGGACCCGCGGCGUAUUAGCUAGUUGGUGAGGUAAUGGCUCACCAAGGCGAUGAUACGUAGCCGAACUGAGAGGUUGAUCGGCCACAUUGGGACUGAGACACGGCCCAAACUCCUACGGGAGGCAGCAGUAGGGAAUCUUCCACAAUGGACGCAAGUCUGAUGGAGCAACGCCGCGUGAGUGAAGAAGGCUUUCGGGUCGUAAAACUCUGUUGUUGGAGAAGAAUGGUCGGCAGAGUAACUGUUGUCGGCGUGACGGUAUCCAACCAGAAAGCCACGGCUAACUACGUGCCAGCAGCCGCGGUAAUACGUAGGUGGCAAGCGUUAUCCGGAUUUAUUGGGCGUAAAGCGAGCGCAGGCGGUUUUUUAAGUCUGAUGUGAAAGCCCUCGGCUUAACCGAGGAAGCGCAUCGGAAACUGGGAAACUUGAGUGCAGAAGAGGACAGUGGAACUCCAUGUGUAGCGGUGAAAUGCGUAGAUAUAUGGAAGAACACCAGUGGCGAAGGCGGCUGUCUGGUCUGCAACUGACGCUGAGGCUCGAAAGCAUGGGUAGCGAACAGGAUUAGAUACCCUGGUAGUCCAUGCCGUAAACGAUGAAUGCUAGGUGUUGGAGGGUUUCCGCCCUUCAGUGCCGCAGCUAACGCAUUAAGCAUUCCGCCUGGGGAGUACGACCGCAAGGUUGAAACUCAAAGGAAUUGACGGGGGCCCGCACAAGCGGUGGAGCAUGUGGUUUAAUUCGAAGCAACGCGAAGAACCUUACCAGGUCUUGACAUCUUUUGAUCACCUGAGAGAUCAGGUUUCCCCUUCGGGGGCAAAAUGACAGGUGGUGCAUGGUUGUCGUCAGCUCGUGUCGUGAGAUGUUGGGUUAAGUCCCGCAACGAGCGCAACCCUUAUGACUAGUUGCCAGCAUUUAGUUGGGCACUCUAGUAAGACUGCCGGUGACAAACCGGAGGAAGGUGGGGAUGACGUCAAAUCAUCAUGCCCCUUAUGACCUGGGCUACACACGUGCUACAAUGGAUGGUACAACGAGUUGCGAGACCGCGAGGUCAAGCUAAUCUCUUAAAGCCAUUCUCAGUUCGGACUGUAGGCUGCAACUCGCCUACACGAAGUCGGAAUCGCUAGUAAUCGCGGAUCAGCACGCCGCGGUGAAUACGUUCCCGGGCCUUGUACACACCGCCCGUCACACCAUGAGAGUUUGUAACACCCGAAGCCGGUGGCGUAACCCUUUUAGGGAGCGAGCCGUCUAAGGUGGGACAAAUGAUUAGGGUG